rnacentral:lncRNA from 1 species
UUUCCAUAUUUCUACGAAUCUCUUUCAUUUCUUAAAUAAACAACAGAAAUUUCUAUCUGAGGUCUCUGUGACCUGAUGAGUCAGCCAGUAACUCAAGCUCCUAGUGCCUCAUGUAAGCAACAUUUUGGAGACUUGUGAAUUUCAGGGUCAUGCUGGCGGGAACCGUCAUUUCGGAACUGGGGCCUUGUGUGUGAAAAAGAAUAAAAGAGCUGGAUCCAGGAACAGCAGGUGGAACACUCACGAGCCAUGCAGCAGGAUUCCAGAAAGAUCCCUUCCCAGUUAUCCCAAAGAUUCCACAAGGAAAUGUCCAGUUGCUCCUGAUGCCUCACAGAAGGACAUAACAUUACCUGGAGAAUGUCAUAGGAAGGUGCCCAUAUCUAGGAGAAACCUCCAAUCAUCUCUGAAAAUCCUGCCAUUAAAGGAGGUGGCAGUUUUUUGUGACUAUUGGUGUCUUUCCGUUAACAAAGCACCACGAUGUUAUGACACAGUGCAGCACGGACUCAUCAUCUCCGACCCUGGUCUCUGUGGAGAGGGCAGGCUGAGUGCCUUGCACAGACGUCUCCUUGGUUCUGAUGGCCCAGCGAGGAGAGGCAGGCUUUUCUCUUGUUCUUUUGUUUUAACUCCAAUACCUUAACCUUGUCACUGGGAAAAAAUUCCUUUUGGAUUUUGCCAAUACUUUAAGGGGGGGGGGGGGGGUCAAGCCUUUGAAAAUCUAAUGUACUACAAUAUCAUCAAUUUGCCUUCAAGACAAAUUUUUAGUUUUUGUGACUCAUUCAUACAUAUUUUAAAAGAAAAAUGAGAGCCGGCACAACAGGAGUUAGUGGCCAAAGGCUAUUUUACGGGGCUCAUCCACCCUCCUGUGGGUCUCCCAGAAGCAUCCUGACAGCUCAGAGUUGUCAUGUGGCAGAGAACUGGAGCCUGAACUCUUCCAUACACAGGCAGCUGAAGAAGGUGCCAGCAUUCCUCUCCUUGCUCAUGGACGCAGAAAGCCAACAGCUAAAUGCUGUCUGGGUUUGCCUAAGUCUGCGACCACUUGUGGCAAAAAAACAGCCUGACUAAGCCAAAAACAGAUGACUGGUUCAUCACUAAUUGUCCUAACCAUUUGCAUAUUUACAAUGAAAUAAACUUCAAAACCAAUGCCCAUUGCUAAAGCCUCUUGCACAAUAAAUAUUACCCCCACUUGACAGUGCUUUAAAAACACAUUCACUUAUUUUUUGUGUCGUAGUUAUUGACCUACGUAAAGACGUUGCUAAAGUUCAGCCCUGGGCAGUAAACCACACUUUAG